rnacentral:rRNA from 1 species
AGAGUUUGAUCCUGGCUCAGGAUGAACGCUGGCGGCGUGCCUAAUACAUGCAAGUCGAACGAGGUGCUUUUUGUAGCAAUACGAGAGGUAUCCUAGUGGCGAACGGGUGAGUAACGCGUUGGUGACCUGCCCCAAAGUGUGGGAUAACAGUCCGAAAGGAUUGCUAAUACCGCAUGUGGUCCCCGGAUUUAGAAACCGGUGACUAAAGCAGCAAUGCGCUUUGGGAGGGACCUGCGUCCCAUCAGCUAGUUGGUGAGGUAACGGCCCACCAAGGCUACGACGGGUAGGGGACCUGAGAGGGUGGCCCCCCACAAUGGAACUGAAACACGGUCCAUACACCUACGGGUGGCAGCAGUAGGGAAUAUUGCACAAUGGGCGAAAGCCUGAUGCAGCAACGCCGCGUGCGCGAUGAAGGUCUUCGGAUCGUAAAGCGCUUUUCUGGGAGAUGAGAAAGGACAGU